rnacentral:rRNA from 1 species
UACGUAGGGUGCAAGCGUUAAUCGGAAUUACUGGGCGUAAAGCGUGCGCAGGCGGUUAUGCAAGACAGAUGUGAAAUCCCCGGGCUUAACCUGGGAACCGCAUUUGUGACUGCAUAGCUGGAGUACGGCAGAGGGGGAUGGAAUUCCGCGUGUAGCAGUGAAAUGCGUAGAUAUGCGGAGGAACACCGAUGGCGAAGGCAAUCCCCUGGGCCUGCACUGACGCUCAUGCACGAAAGCGUAGGGGAGC